GACGAACGCUGGCGGCGCGCUUAACACAUGCAAGUCGAGCGAGAACCGGCCUUCGGGCCGGGGAAAGCGGCGAACGGGUGAGUAACACGUGGGUAAUCUGCCCUCGGCACCGGGAUAGCCCGGGGAAACCCGGAUUAAUACCGGAUGGCCCUUUGAGUCCUCGGAUUCAAAGGAAAAGGUAGCUUCGGCCUCCGGCCGAGGAUGAGCCCGCGGCGGAUUAGCUUGUUGGUGGGGUAACGGCCUACCAAGGCGACGAUCCGUAGCUGGUCUGAGAGGACGAGCAGCCACCCUGGGACUGAGACACGGCCCAGACUCCUACGGGAGGAAGCAGUGGGGAAUCUUGCGCAAUGGGCGAAAGCCUGACGCAGCGACGCCGCGUGAGGGAAGAAGGCCUUCGGGUUGUAAACCUCUUUCAGGAGGGACGAAGCCACUCGGGUUAAUAGCCCAGAGGGUGACGGUACCUCCAGAAGAAGCCCCGGCUAACUACGUGCCAGCCGCCGCGGUAAAAC
rnacentral:rRNA from 1 species